AUUGAACGCUGGCGGCAGGCUUAACACAUGCAAGUCGAGCGGAGAUGAGGUGCUUGCACCUUAUCUUAGCGGCGGACGGGUGAGUAAUGCUUAGGAAUCUGCCAUUUAGUGGGGGACAACAUUCCGAAAGGAAUGCUAAUACCGCAUACGUCCUACGGGAGAAAGCAGGGGAUCUUCGGACCUUGCGCUAAAUGAUGAGCCUAAGUCGGAUUAGCUAGUUGGUGGGGUAAAGGCCUACCAAGGCGACGAUCUGUAGCGGGUCUGAGAGGAUGAUCCGCCACACUGGGACUGGGACACGGCCCAGACUCCUACGGGAGGCAGCAGUGGGGAAUAUUGGACAAUGGGCGCAAGCCUGAUCCAGCCAUGCCGCGUGUGUGAAGAAGGCCUUCGGGUUGUAAAGCACUUUCAGUAGGGAGGAAGGGUGUUGUGUUAAUAGCACAGCAUUUUGACGUUACCUACAGAAGAAGCACCGGCUAACUCUGUGCCAGCCGCCGCCGUAAGAC
rnacentral:rRNA from 1 species